rnacentral:rRNA from 1 species
GAUGAACGCUGGCGGCGUGCCUAAUACAUGCAAGUCGAGCGAACAGACGAGGAGCUUGCUCCUCUGACGUUAGCGGUGGACGGGUGAGUAACACGUGGAUAACCUACCUAUAAGACUGGGAUAACUUCGGGAAACCGGAGCUAAUACCGGAUAACAUGUUGAACCGCAUGGUUCAACAGUGAAAGACGGUCUUGCUGUCACUUAUAGAUGGAUCCGCGCCGCAUUAGCUAGUUGGUAAGGUAACGGCUUACCAAGGCAACGAUGCGUAGCCGACCUGAGAGGGUGAUCGGCCACCCUGGAACUGAGACACGGUCCAGACGCCUACGGGAGGCAGCAGUAGGGAAUCUUCCGCAAUGGGCGAAAGCCUGACGGAGCAACGCCGCGUGAGUGAAGAAGGUCUUCGGAUCGUAAAACUCUGUUAUUAGGGAAGAACAAAUGUGUAAGUAACUAUGCACGUCUUGACGGUACCUAAUCAGAAAGCCACGGCUAACUACGUG